CUCUGCCACGAAGUAAAGGGCUGAACCGGCUAGUGCAAUUCCCGACGAGCUCGACGUCGAGUUUAUGUUCUCGUUUGGUAAUUACGAGAUUAGCGAAGAAGUGAUAAAACAGUACGAAAAAGUGAUACAGAUGUUGGAGAUAAACAACGCAGCAUUCUACUUUCUGAAAAAUAUAGACUCGUAACUGGAAUUACAUAAUUCGUACACAAAAGGGAUUAAUCGCCAUGAUGUCAACACCGUGCAAUGCUCACUGCAACAAGCGAAACCGCGAUCUAGUGAUCCGAUCCAGCGACAUCAUGUCACAAUACGUAAGUCUCAUCUCGCGUGCGAAACCGCGAAUUCUUAAGAAAAGGA